UACAGAGGUCUCAAGCGUUGUUCGGAUUCAUUGGGCGUAAAGGGUGCGUAGGCGGCGCGGUAAGUCGGGUGUGAAAUCUCGGAGCUUAACUCCGAAACUGCAUUCGAUACUGCCGUGCUUGAGGACUGGAGAGGAGACUGGAAUUCCUGGUGUAGCGGUGAAAUGCGCAGAUAGUCAGGAGGAACACCGGUGGCGAAGGCGGGUCUCUGGGCAGUAACUGACGCUGGAGGAGCGAAAGCGUGGGGAGCGAACAGG
rnacentral:rRNA from 1 species